AUUUACAUAAUGAAGCCCCAAUCCCUGGCACCUCAGAAUGUGACCUCAUCUGGAAACAGGGUUCUUACAGAUAUAGCUAGUGAAGUCACAGUGAGGUCCUACGAGAGCAGGAAGGGCCCCUAGUCUGAUGACCAGUGUCCUCGUGAAUGGGCAUGUUGGACACAGGCACAAGAGGGAGCAGCGUGUGAGCGUGAAGAUGGCCGAGGGCAAGGGCCUGGAACAGAUCCUCCUCUCAAGGCCCUCAGAAGGAACCAAUGCUGCCAACUCCCUCAUCUGGGACUUCUAGACUCCAGAACUGUGAGACAAUACAUCCUGUCUGUUGUUAGAGCCCCAAGUUUGUGGUACCUUGUUACCUUGGCCCUAGCUGUUAAUAUUAUCAAUAUCCUAACAAAUAAGUGCUAAAGUUUGGAAUUGCCAAAUCAUUCCACCAUCUAAUCCUGGCUUAUUUUCCUGGAUUUUUUUUUUAAACUGUGAUGAAACGUGGCAUUGACGUUGCAAGAAUCUAUCCUAAGAAGACAAGUGGGAAAGCGCAGAUUCACGUACAGGGAAGAUAAACUUCAUAACACUGUUCGUAACAGAAGAAAGGGAGAGAAAGGAGGAAAACAAUCAGAGGUUCGAAGCACCUGCUCCAUGGGUCUCUCUCCUCCAAGCUGCUCCCUUGGCUGAUUGAGAACAUUCCAUUUUCUCUGGCAGGAGAGCUUUCCUUCACCAGGAAAUGAUGCUUUUGGAUCACAUGUGAAGGUUUAAAAAAAUACAGCUGCCCUGGCUUCCUGAAAUCUGGAAAGCUUUACAACAUGAAAGAAGAAUGGUUUCAUUGGAUAAUAAUCCAUCUGCAAUAAGAGCAAAGUCCAUACUACUAUUAAAUGUAUUUAUCCACUGA